rnacentral:rRNA from 1 species
GAUGAACGCUAGCUACAGGCUUAACACAUGCAAGUCGAGGGGUAACAAGAGAAAAGCUUGCUUUUCUUGUUGACGACCGGCGCACGGGUGAGUAACGCGUAUCCAACCUGCCUAUAACUAGGGAAUAACCUUGCGAAAGUAAGACUAAUACCCUAUGAUUUCCUUUGAUGACAUCAGAUUAGGAAUAAAGAUUUAUCGGUUAUAGAUGGGGAUGCGUCUGAUUAGCUUGUUGGCGGGGUGACGGCCCACCAAGGCAACGAUCAGUAGGGGUUCUGAGAGGAAGGUCCCCCACAUUGGAACUGAGACACGGUCCAAACUCCUACGGGAGGCAGCAGUGAGGAAUAUUGGUCAAUGGGCGGAAGCCUGAACCAGCCAAGUAGCGUGCAGGAUGACGGCCCUAUGGGUUGUAAACUGCUUUUAUACAGGAAUAAAGUUAGCCACGUGUGGUUAUUUGUAGGUACUGUAUGAAUAAGGACCGGCUAAUUCCGUGCCAGCAGCCGCCGCCGUAA